rnacentral:rRNA from 2 species
UUAAAUUGAAGAGUUUGAUCAUGGCUCAGAUUGAACGCUGGCGGCAGGCCUAACACAUGCAAGUCGAACGGUAACAGGAAGCAGCUUGCUGCUUCGCUGACGAGUGGCGGACGGGUGAGUAAUGUCUGGGAAACUGCCUGAUGGAGGGGGAUAACUACUGGAAACGGUGGCUAAUACCGCAUAACGUCGCAAGACCAAAGAGGGGGACCUUCGGGCCUCUUGCCAUCAGAUGUGCCCAGAUGGGAUUAGCUAGUUGGUGAGGUAACGGCUCACCAAGGCGACGAUCCCUAGCUGGUCUGAGAGGAUGACCAGCCACACUGGAACUGAGACACGGUCCAGACUCCUACGGGAGGCAGCAGUGGGGAAUAUUGCACAAUGGGCGCAAGCCUGAUGCAGCCAUGCCGCGUGUAUGAAGAAGGCCUUCGGGUUGUAAAGUACUUUCAGCGGGGAGGAAGGUGUUGUGGUUAAUAACCACAGCAAUUGACGUUACCCGCAGAAGAAGCACCGGCUAACUCCGUGCCAGCAGCCGCGGUAAUACGGAGGGUGCAAGCGUUAAUCGGAAUUACUGGGCGUAAAGCGCACGCAGGCGGUCUGUCAAGUCGGAUGUGAAAUCCCCGGGCUCAACCUGGGAACUGCAUUCGAAACUGGCAGGCUUGAGUCUUGUAGAGGGGGGUAGAAUUCCAGGUGUAGCGGUGAAAUGCGUAGAGAUCUGGAGGAAUACCGGUGGCGAAGGCGGCCCCCUGGACAAAGACUGACGCUCAGGUGCGAAAGCGUGGGGAGCAAACAGGAUUAGAUACCCUGGUAGUCCACGCCGUAAACGAUGUCUACUUGGAGGUUGUGCCCUUGAGGCGUGGCUUCCGGAGCUAACGCGUUAAGUAGACCGCCUGGGGAGUACGGCCGCAAGGUUAAAACUCAAAUGAAUUGACGGGGGCCCGCACAAGCGGUGGAGCAUGUGGUUUAAUUCGAUGCAACGCGAAGAACCUUACCUGGUCUUGACAUCCACAGAACUUUCCAGAGAUGGAUUGGUGCCUUCGGGAACUGUGAGACAGGUGCUGCAUGGCUGUCGUCAGCUCGUGUUGUGAAAUGUUGGGUUAAGUCCCGCAACGAGCGCAACCCUUAUCCUUUGUUGCCAGCGAUUAGGUCGGGAACUCAAAGGAGACUGCCAGUGAUAAACUGGAGGAAGGUGGGGAUGACGUCAAGUCAUCAUGGCCCUUACGACCAGGGCUACACACGUGCUACAAUGGCGCAUACAAAGAGAAGCGACCUCGCGAGAGCAAGCGGACCUCAUAAAGUGCGUCGUAGUCCGGAUUGGAGUCUGCAACUCGACUCCAUGAAGUCGGAAUCGCUAGUAAUCGUGGAUCAGAAUGCCACGGUGAAUACGUUCCCGGGCCUUGUACACACCGCCCGUCACACCAUGGGAGUGGGUUGCAAAAGAAGUAGGUAGCUUAACCUUCGGGAGGGCGCUUACCACUUUGUGAUUCAUGACUGGGGUGAAGUCGUAACAAGGUAACCGUAGGGGAACCUGCGGUUGGAUCACCUCCUUACCUUAAAGAAGC